rnacentral:lncRNA from 1 species
UCUUACCUGUUUGGCAAACAUGGGCUGUGAGUCCAAUUCCAGGGCAUCUCCAGCCUGCAAAUCUACCUGCCUGCUGCUAAUAAGGUGUAUCAGGGGAAAAGGAUAGAUCCUACAGCAUGGCUACCGCGGUAGGAAACACUUGGCGAGUAUCCCGCGAAAAAGAACUUCUAGGAUCUGAACACAUGGAGAAGAACAACAGAUGAAGGUGGCAUUUCUGGAGACCCUGAAGACCAUGAACAGAGUCCAGAAUCCCAUGCGCUGAUUAUAAGAAAUGUGGUAUAUAUGCAGUUCCAGUAGCCUUAGCAGUAGACAGACUUGCUGCUCAGCAGAUUCAGAAGGCACUGAACAUGAACAUCUGCAUGACUGAACUUCAAGGACCUGAGAUUGUGCGACCUUGCAAGACUUGCCAAAAUCUCCUUCCCUGAAACCAGUUCCUCUGGCCACAUGGAAAUCUUCAAAUUCCCAACUGGAAAGCCAGAGAAUGGAGAACCAGAGACCCCAGUGUUCCAUUUACAUAUACCAAUACUAUAGAGUAAUUAUUCCUUCCUUCAUGUCCCGGGAACCAAACCUGUGCAUUCCAUAACUUGUCUAUACAUCCAAUUGUACCUUUCAGCCAUAUUGUAAUGCUCAAAUGAGUUUUUGUGUUGAGUCACCUCAGCCUCUGAUGAAACAUUAGGCUUCUAGAACCCUCAACUGAGGAGUAUGUCAAAGAACUGUUAGCCCAUCUCCAAGGGUACAAGUCCAUCAUGUUCAUGGCUGUGUCUUUAAAACAACCCUUUAACUAUUCCCAAAAAACAUUAUGACCGGGAUCUGAACACAUGGAAAAGGACAAAAU